AAGGUUUCCAGAGUAAAGCUGAUCUGCUCUGGGUAAGUCGGGGCCUAAGGCGAGGCUGAGAGGCGUAGUCGAUGGACAACAGGUUGAAAUUCCUGUACCAUGUAUCAUCAGAACUGUGGGGACACAGAAGGACAACACAUCCCGGGAAUGGGAAUACCGGGGCAAGCGAGGUAGGAGUACGGUUGGCAAAUCCGCCGUGCAAUCCGAAUACGUGACGCGGAGCGAACGAAAGUAGCGAAGUGUGUGAUUCCGGCUGUCAAGAAAAGCCGCUAUAGUGUGAUACAUGCCCGUACCGUAAACCGACACAGGUAGAUGAGGAGAGAAUCCUAAGGCCGGCGGGAGAAGCAUUGUUAAGGAACUCGGCAAAAUGACCCCGUAACUUCGGGAGAAGGGGUGCCACAGAGAUGUGGCCGCAGAGAAUAGGCUCAAGCAACUGUUUAGCAAAAACACAGGUCUAUGCAAAACCGUAAGGUGAGGUAUAUGGGCUGACGCCUGCCCGGUGCUGGAAGGUUAAGAGGAGAGGUUAGAGAAAUCGAAGCUUUGAAUUUAAGCCCCAGUAAACGGCGGCCGUAACUAUAACGGUCCUAAGGUAGCGAAAUUCCUUGUCGGGUAAGUUCCGACCCGCACGAAAGGCGUAAUGAUUUGAGCGCUGUCUCAACAAUGCACCCGGUGAAAUUGAAAUACCAGUGAAGAUGCUGGUUACCUGCGCCAGGACGGAAAGACCCCAUGGAGCUUUACUCCAGUUUGAUACUGGGAUUCGGUAUUGCAUGUACAGGAUAGGUGGGAGGCUGAGAAGCAUGGACGCCAGUCUGUGUGGAGCCAAUGUUGGGAUACCACCCUUGCGAUAUUGGGUUUCUAACCUGCGCCCGUGAGCCGGGCGGGGGACAAUGUCAGGCGGGGAGUUUGACUGGGGCGGUCGCCUCCGAAAGGGUAUCGGAGGCGCUCAAAGGUUCCCUCAGGAUGGUUGGAAACCAUCCAAAGAGUGCAAAGGCAUAAGGGAGCUUGACUGCGACACCGACGGGUGGAGCAGGUACGAAAGUAGGACUUAGUGAUCCGGUGGUAUGAAAGUGGGAUUGCCAUCGCUCAACGGAUAAAAGCUACCCUGGGGAUAACAGGCUUAUCACUCCCAAGAGUUCACAUCGACGGAGUGGUUUGGCACCUCGAUGUCGGCUCAUCGCAUCCUGGGGCUGUAGCAGGUCCCAAGGGUUGGGCUGUUCGCCCAUUAAAGCGGUACGCGAGCUGGGUUCAGAACGUCGUGAGACAGUUCGGUCCCUAUCCGGCGCGGGCGCAGGAUAUCUGAGAGGAGCUGUCCUUAGUACGAGAGGACCGGGAUGGACAGACCGCUGGUGUACCUGUUGGCCUACCAAGGCCAUGGCAGGGUAGCCAAGUCUGGACGGGAUAAACGCUGAAGGCAUCUAAGCGUGAAGCCCCCCUCAAGAUGAGAUAUCCCAUCGCGAAAGCGAGUAAGACCCCUUGAAGACGACGAGGUAGAUAGGUUAGAGGUGGAAGUGCAGUAAUGUACGGAGCUGACUAAUACUAAUCGGUCGAGGGCUUAUCCA
rnacentral:rRNA from 1 species